UCAGAACGAACGCUGGCGGCAUGCCUAACACAUGCAAGUCGAACGAGGCCCUUCGGGGUUUAGUGGCGCACGGGUGCGUAACGCGUGGGAAUCUGCCCUUUGGUUCGGAAUAACAGCUGGAAACGGCUGCUAAUACCGGAUGAUGACGAGAGUCCAAAGAUUUAUCGCCAGAGGAUGAGCCCGCGUUGGAUUAGGUAGUUGGUGGGGUAAAGGCCUACCAAGCCGACGAUCCAUAGCUGGUCUGAGAGGAUGAUCAGCCACACUGGGACUGAGACACGGCCCAGACUCCUACGGGAGGCAGCAGUGGGGAAUAUUGGACAAUGGGCGCAAGCCUGAUCCAGCAAUGCCGCGUGAGUGAUGAAGGCCCUAGGGUUGUAAAGCUCUUUUACCCGGGAAGAUAAUGACUGUACCGGGAGAAUAAGCCCCGGCUAACUCCGUGC
rnacentral:rRNA from 1 species